UGCCCUUAGUUGCCAUCGGGUCACGCCGGGAACUCUAAGGGGACGCCCGGACAACGGGAGGAAGUGGGGAUGACGUCAAGUCAGCAUGGCCUUUAUGUCCAGGGCUACACACGUGCUACAAUGGUUGGUACAAAGGGUUGCCAAGCCGUGAGGCGGAGCCAAUCUCCAAAAAGCCAACCUCAGUUCGGAUUGCAGUCUGCAACUCGACUGCAUGAAGUUGGAAUCGCUAGUAAUCGCUGAUCAGCAGGCAGCGGUGAAUACGUUCCCGGGCCUU
rnacentral:rRNA from 1 species